CGACGCCUGGAGGAAGGUGGGGAUGACGUCAAAUCAUCAUGCCCCUUAUGAUUAGGGCUACACACGUGCUAAAUGGCGUAACAAAGGCAGGGAAGCGACCCUGCGAAGGUGAGCAAAUCUCAAAAUAACGUCUCAGUUCGGAUUGUAGUCUGCACGAACUCGACUACAUAUGAAGCUGGAAUCGCUAGUAAUCGCAAAUCCG
rnacentral:rRNA from 1 species